rnacentral:rRNA from 1 species
ACUACGGGGGGCAGCAGUGAGGAAUAUUGGUCAAUGGGCGGAAGCCUGAACCAGCCAAGUAGCGUGCAGGAUGACGGCCCUACGGGUUGUAAACUGCUUUUAUACGGGAAUAACGCGCCUUACGUGUAGGGCUUUGCAUGUACCGUAUGAAUAAGGACCGGCUAAUUCCGUGCCAGCAGCCGCGGUAAGACGGAAGGUCCGGGCGUUAUCCGGAUUUAUUGGGUUUAAGGGGAGCGUAGGCCGCAUGUCAAGCGUGCUGUGAAAUGUCCGGGCUCAACCCGGGCCUUGCAGCGCGAACUGGCGUGCUUGAGUCCGCGGAAAGCAGGCGGAAUUCGUCGUGUAGCGGUGAAAUGCUUAGAUAUGACGAAGAACCCCGAUUGCGAAGGCAGCUUGCUGCAGCGGAACUGACGCUGAUGCUCGAAAGCGCGGGUAUCGAACAGGAUUAGAUACCCUGGUAGUC